CAGAACUAGUGAUUUUAAACAAUAAUUCAACAAAAUUUUACUAUAUAUGAAAAAACCGGAGAAUAUUGUGCGAGGCAAAAAUGCCGCGUCACACCGUAUAAGAAAAUUCAAUAGAGGAAAAUAUAAAAAAUUGUGAAAAGAACACGUCACGGACGAGGACGAAGUGGCGGUAAAAUCUAAUUUUCUAAUUAGCAAUUGUAAUACCCUACGAUAACAAAAAGUAACGUGUAAUUUUCCUAAUCUAUAUUCUCUUUAUGUAUUCACACAUCACGUUAUUCUUAUUUUAUAAUAUAAAAAAUAAAAGCCACGCAACUAAUUGUGCUCUGCGUGUAAGUGUGUGUGUCACUAAAAAGCUUCAUCAAGCAUGCGCUAGUGAUUUUUUUAAAAAAAUCGCAAUGGGCUCCUGCUGCAACAAGCAGUCGUCAGAAGCGGACUUCCAAAUUCCGGAGAAAACAAUAUGAGGACAAGAUUCAAGCUCUUGAUCCAAAAGACGACUGGUUUUCGAAGAAGAAUGAGCCUACUGCAAAGCUGAAAGAAAAUAGUAAGACACUUAGGAAUUAGCGACCAAAAGAAAGAUUUACUGCAAAGAACAACAAUGACACCGAUUAUCUAUCCCGGUUUAGGACAAAGACUAAAACCGUACUUCGUGAUGAACCUCUAUUCUCAUCGUUCCUAUGCUGCAUCAACUUCUUGAGCACAGAGUACAUUAAAAACUUUGAUUUGGCAGAAUUUGGUAUAGUUAAAGAUGAAACGUACAACAUAUUGCAUAAUAAUGACAAGAAUUCCGAAAUAUAUCAACAAAAAUUCCUUUCUCAGCAUGUAAAACAGCUGCAAAAUUGUUAACAAAUAAAUUCCCAAUUAUUUUUAAAGAUGUGAAUGAAAAAGGAGAAACGAUUGGUAGUGGACACAGCUACACAGCAGAAAAAAUUCGAAAUCGUAAUAAUAAGUUAAACAGAUCAAAGUCUUUUCCUUCCUUAACAAGUACUCUCGGAGUUAAUUCUGCUACCAUUUAACUGACACAAAUGGCACAAGCUGGUUGUCUUAGGUGGCCGCCAGAACUAAAGUUGACUUCAGAAAUUGCUUAAGAAAAAAGAAAAUUUCUUUUCUUGUUCAUCACAGAAGAUUCUGAGGAAUUUAAUGAAAACGAAGAACUUGACGAAAAAAGACAAAUAUUUUUAGAGAUGGAUGAAGUAACAAAAAAAGAAAAGGAAGAACUGGAUUUUGUUGCAAUCUAAGGCUACCAAAGACAAUUUUAAAACAACUUACUGAGUCCGCCUAAUGCAUCUGAAAUUCGAAAAAUUUUGCCUGUUAUUUUAUUCCAAGACUUCUUCUCGCAUUAGGAAUUGUUAACAGGCCACUCUAUGAACGAUCUAAAAGAACGAUUUGCCGAAGUCGGAGAAAAAAUAUUUGCUUACGGUCACGCAAAAAAUGUAUCAUCCGAAAAUAUUUAUUCUAAUGAAGAAGUAUUUCGAAUUAUAUCGAAACACUUUAAGAAAGGCCACAAUUCAUUGUUUCGAAACUGCCCUGAAGUAAAUACCAUCUACGACUGUAGAGUAUCAGGGAAUGUCUUUAGUUGAGCUGUUCGCAUCAGUAAGGAAGAGGCAUACUCUUUCGACAUUCAACAACAAACAGUAAUAACAGAUUCCUCAUUUCUGGGAGCUUUUCAAGUCAUGUUUGCAUCGUAUUUCAUUUUUAAUAAGCCGUUUCCAUACUAAAAUUCAGUAACAUUGGAUUUCAGUCAAAGGUUUUUCUAAAUAUUAAUCCAAGCAAUGAAAAUAAGGCCAAAAGGAAUGCCAAAUCAAAAAUAUUAGGGGAGUAUAGUCUAGGUCAAAGCUUGUCUUAGUGAAACCUAACUUUUUGUUCCAUUACAUUUUUGGAGAAUCGAAAGUAGUGUCAUCUGUGACGUCGAUCAAAAAAAUGGAAUCGUCAAGGCAACAAAAAUUUUGUGGUUCGAACAAUUUGGUAAUGUUACUUUCUGUCAAGGUUGGCCACUUUGCACCUAAAGUGCGCAAAUAUGAGGAUGAGCUACUUUAUUUGCAAAAACUGCGAUACUAAAUAACUCAUAAUUUAAUUGAUAAUCUUAUUAAUAUUUGUAUUUAAUUUUAUUAAUAUUUCAGUUCAAAAUUUGCCAAAGAUAUUAGAAAAAUAAUAUUAAAUCUGUAACGAUGGGCUGUAUAUUAACC